GAUAAAGUGUGACACCACCAUACGUGAUAUUACGAGACGAGCCGAAGGUCUUGUGCAGUUUACAGAAAGGGACGAGUGGGGACGAAUGCUAAACGACUUGCACGUGAACUUUAACCUUUGACCCAGAUACGCGGAGCCGUGAAAGUCAUUGCUCAAUCCUGCAGUUUCACUCCUCAAAGAUGACAACACGCUUUUCAAGAAUCAUUAAACAGCUUGGAUAUGAGAGAAUACUACGCGCGCCCAACUCAGGACGAGUUAUCGUUCCUGGCUUGCCUUACUCAGCUUUUGACGCGCAAUCCUACCCGAAGCCUUGCUGAUGAGCGUGGUUAAUCUAAUGGACUCACGCAGAUCUGUCUCUUUACGGCUGAAGUUGAUGGCGGAGACUCACCUACUGGCUUACAAGAU